CCUCUAGCAUUACUAGUAUUAGAGGCACUGCCUGCCCAGUGACAUUAGUUAAACGGCCGCGGUAUCCUGACCGUGCAAAGGUAGCAUAAUCAUUUGUUCCUUAAUUAGGGACUAGUAUGAAUGGCCCCACGAGGGUUUAACUGUCUCUUACUUUCAAUCAGUGAAAUUGACCUCCCCGUGAAGAGGCGGGGAUAUAAAAAUAAGACGAGAAGACCCUAUGGAGCUUAAAUUAAAUAUCCAACAAAACUAAACUUAAUCCAACAGGAAUAAUGAUAUUUUAACUGGGUAAUAAAUUUUGGUUGGGGUGACCUCGGAGCACAAUAAAACCUCCGAGCUAUUUUACCAAGACUAACCCGUCAAGGUUAUUUUUUUUUUGAUCCAAUCAUAUUGAUCAACGAAACAAGUUACCCUAGGGAUAACAGCGCAAUCCUAUUUAAGAGUUCUUAUCGACAAUAGGGUUUACGACCUCGAUGUUGGAUCAGGACACCCAAAUGGUGCAGCAGCUAUUAAAGGUUCGUUUGUUCAACG
rnacentral:rRNA from 1 species